UGGGGGAGAGUAUGAUAAUAGUACGGCUGGUUUGGGACUUGCAAGUCUUUGGAGAGAAGUCCCCUGA
rnacentral:tRNA from 1 species